rnacentral:rRNA from 1 species
AACGAACGCUGGCGGCAUGCCUAACACAUGCAAGUCGAACGAGACCUUCGGGUCUAGUGGCGCCCGGGUGCGUAACGCGUGGGAACCUGCCCUUAGGUUCGGAAUAACUCCCCGACAGGGGUGCUAAUACCGGAUAAUGUCUUCGGACCAAAGAUUUAUCGCCUUUGGAUGGGCCCGCGUUGGAUUAGCUAGUUGGUAGGGUAAAAGCCUACCAAGGCGACGAUCCAUAGCUGGUCUGAGAGGAUGAUCAGCCACACUGGGACUGAGACACGGCCCAGACUCCUACGGGAGGCAGCAGUGGGGAAUAGUGGACAAUGGGCGAAAGCCUGAUCCAGCAAUGACGCGUGAGUGAUGAAGGCCUUAGGGUUGUAAAGCUCUUUUACCCGGGAUGAUAAUGACAGUACCGGGAGAAUAAGCUCCGGCUAACUCCGUG